AAUUUUGGACAAUGGGGGAAACCCUGAUCCAGCCAUCCCGCGUGUAUGAUGAAGGCCUUCGGGUUGUAAAGUACUUUUGGCAGAGAAGAAAAGGUAUCUCCUAAUACGAGAUACUGCUGACGGUAUCUGCAGAAUAAGCACCGGCUAACUACGUGCCAGCAGCCGCGGUAAUACGUAGGGUGCAAGCGUUAAUCGGAAUUACUGGGCGUAAAGCGUGUGUAGGCGGUUCGGAAAGAAAGAGGUGAAAUCCAAGGGUUCACCUUUGAAACGGAAUUUUAAAUGCCCGGGCAAGAGUAUGUCAGAGGGGGGAAGAAUUCCACGUGUAGCAGUAAAAGGCGUAAUAAUGUGGAGGAAAACCGAUGGCGAAGGCAGCCCCCUGGGAUAUACUGACGCUCAGACACGAAAGCGUGGGGAGCAAACAGG
rnacentral:rRNA from 1 species